AUGGUAGGAUAGAGGCCUACCAUGGUGGUAACGGGUAACGGGGUGUUAGGGCACGACACCGGAGAGGGAGCCUGAGAAACGGCUACCACAUCCAAGGAAGGCAGCAGGCGCGCAAAUUACCCAAUCCCGACACGGGGAGGUAGUGACAAUAAAUAACAAUACAGGGUUCUUUGAAUCUUGUAAUUGGAAUGAGUACAAUUUAAAUCUCUUAACGAGGAACAAUUGGAGGGCAAGUCUGGUGCCAGCAGCCGCGGUAAUUCCAGCUCCAAUAGCGUAUAUUAAAGUUGUUGCAGUUAAAAAGCUCGUAGUUGAAUUUCGGGAUCAAUACGUCGGUCGUGCUUUCGGGUACGUACUGGCGUCAUUGGUUUCUCCUUUCUGACGAACCAUGAUGUCAUUAAUUUGGUGUUAUGGGGAGUUAGGACUGUUACUUUGAAAAAAUUAGAGUGUUUAAAGCAGGCAUUAGCUUGAAUACAUUAGCAUGGAAUAAUGAAAUAGGACGUUCGAUCCUAUUUUGUUGGUUUCUAGGAUCAACGUAAUGAUUAAUAGGGAUAGUUGGGGGCAUUAGUAUUCAAUUGUCAGAGGUGAAAUUCUUGGAUUUAUUGAAGACUAACUACUGCGAAAGCAUUUGCCAAAGAUGUUUUCAUUAAUCAAGAACGAAAGUUAGGGGAUCGAAGACGAUCAGAUACCGUCGUAGUCUUAACCAUAAACUAUGCCGACUAGGGAUCGGAUGAUGUUAAUUUUUUAAUGACUCAUUCGGCGCCUUACGGGAAACCAAAGUGUUUGGG
rnacentral:rRNA from 1 species